rnacentral:lncRNA from 10 species
GCGAGCUGCAGGCAGGUGGUCUUCCCCCAGGCCUCGGACACGCGGGAAUAUCAUCACUAUUGGAAAACCCAGGAUAUUUUGAAAGCCUGCAUUCUGAUGCUUCACUGACGCCACCCCGACUGGAGAUCUGGUGCAACCAGUUCUGUGACCACACGCAGAAACAGCAGACAGCGAGAAGAACCCACUUCGACCCCUGUGAUCAUGAAUAGUAGACAGUGAGAAGAACCCACUUUGACCCGCUGUGAUUUCAUCUCUGGCCCAACCAAUCAGUACUCCCCGCUGCCUGGCCCCCUACCCACCAAAUUAUCCUUAAAAAACCCCAGUCUCACCAGGCGUGGUGGUUCACGCCUGUAAUCCCAGCACUUUGGGAGGCCGAGGUGGGCGGAUCAUCUGAGGUUAGGAGUUUGAGACCAGCCUGACCAAUAUGAUGAAACCCCAUCUCUAUUAAAAAUACAAAAAUUAGCCAGUUGUGGUGGCAGGCAGCUGUAAUCCCAGCUACUCGGGAGGCUGAGACAGGAGAAUCGCUUGAAUCCAGAGGGCAGAGGGUGUAGUGAGCCGAGAUUGUGCCAUUGCACUCCAGCCUGGGCAACAGAGCGACACUCCAUCUCAAAAAAAAAAAACAGUCUCCAAAUUUUCAGGGAGACUGAUUUGGGUGAUGAAACUCCAGCUUCCCAUUCAGCC